rnacentral:rRNA from 1 species
GCCUGGAAAUAAACAACCCUGCCAAAAAAGUACAAACAUUAGUUCAAAACUUAAAAGACCUGGCGGUGUCCAAAAUCAGCCUAGAGGAGCUUGUUAUAUAAUCGAUAAUCCACGUUAAACCUUACCUUUUCUGGCAAAUUCAGCCUAUAUACCGCCGUCGACAGCCCAUUUUUCCAAAAAUAGAGCAACUCAGGAGCCCCCUAAAACGACAGGCCAAGGCGUAGCUUAUGAGGAGGACAAUAAUGGGCUACACUACUAUACACAACAAAAACUUCACUGAAACACAGUCGCACGAAGAAGAAUUUAGCAGUAAGAAGAAUUAGAGUGUUCUACUGAACCAGGACAUUGGACACGC